AUUGAACGCUGGCGGCAGGCCUAACACAUGCAAGUCGGACGGUAGCACAGAGGAGCUUGCUCCUCGGGUGACGAGUGGCGGACGGGUGAGUAAUGUCUGGGGAUCUGCCCGAUAGAGGGGGAUAACCACUGGAAACGGUGGCUAAUACCGCAUAACGUCGCAAGACCAAAGAGGGGGACCUUCGGGCCUCUCACUAUCGGAUGAACCCAGAUGGGAUUAGCUAGUAGGCGGGGUAACGGCCCACCUAGGCGACGAGCCCUAGCUGGUCUGAGAGGAUGACCAGCCACACUGGAACUGAGACCCGGUCCAGACUCCUACGGGAGGCAGCAGUGGGGAAUAUUGCACAAUGGGCGCAAGCCUGAUGCAGCCAUGCCGCGUGUAUGAAGAAGGCCUUCGGGUUGUAAAGUACUUUCAGCGGGGAGGAAGGCGAUGUGGUUAAUAACCGCAUUGAUUGACGUUACCCGCAGAAGAAGCACCGGCUAACUCCGUGCCAGCCGCCGCCGUAA
rnacentral:rRNA from 1 species